rnacentral:rRNA from 1 species
UUCGCAAUGCCCGAAAGGGUGACGAAGCGACGCCGCGUGUGGGAAGAAGGCCUUCGGGUUGUAAACCACUGUCGGGAGUUAAGAAAUGCAAGGGUGUUAAUAGCGUCCUUGCUUGACUAAGGCUCCGGAGGAAGCCACGGCUAACUCUGUGCCAGCAGCCGCGGUAAUACAGAGGCGGCAAGCGUUGUUCGGAAUUAUUGGGCGUAAAGAGCACGUAGGCGGCUAUGUAAGUCGGUUGUGAAAGCCUUCCGCUCAACGGGAGAACAGCAUCCGAUACUGCAUGGCUUGAGUGCGGGAGGGGAGAGUGGAACUUCUGGUGGAGCGGUGAAAUGCGUAGAUAUCAGAAGGAACGCCGGCGGCGAAAGCGGCUCUCUGGCCCAUAACUGACGCUGAGUGUGCGAAAGCUAGGGGAGCAAACGGGAUUAGAUACCCCGGUAGUCCUAGCCGUAAACGAUGGGCACUAAGUAGAG